AACUCAGCUGGUUCAAAGCAUCCCGAUGCAUAGCAAUCGGGAGGGUCGGGGGUUCGAAUCCCUCA
rnacentral:tRNA from 1 species